GGGGGAUAUUGCGCAAUGGGGGCAACCCUGACGCAGCAACGCCGCGUGAAGGAUGAAGGUUUUCGGAUUGUAAACUUCUUUUAUUAAGGACGAAACUUGACGGUACUUAAUGAAUAAGCUCCGGCUAACUACGUGCCGGCAGCCGCGGUAAUACGUAGGGAGCAAGCGUUGUCCGGAUUUACUGGGUGUAAAGGGUGCGUAGGCGGCUUUGCAAGUCAGAUGUGAAAUCUAUGGGCUCAACCCAUAAACUGCAUUUGAAACUGUAGAGCUUGAGUGAAGUAGAGGCAGGCGGAAUUCCCCGUGUAGCGGUGAAAUGCGUAGAGAUGGGGAGGAACACCAGUGGCGAAGGCGGCCUGCUGGGCUUUAACUGACGCUGAGGCACGAAAGCGUGGGUAGCAAAC
rnacentral:rRNA from 1 species